GUUUGUCUUAGUGGCGGACGGGUGAGUAACGCGUGAGGAACCUGCCUCUCAGAGGGGGAUAACGUUUGGAAACGAACGCUAAUACCGCAUACCUUGCCGGAACGGCAUCGUUCUGGCAAGAAAGGAGCAAUCCGCUGAGAGAUGGCCUCGCGUCCGAUUAGCCAGUUGGCGGGGUAACGGCCCACCAAAGCGACGAUCGGUAGCCGGACUGAGAGGUUGAACGGCCACAUUGGGACUGAGACACGGCCCAGACUCCUACGGGAGGCAGCAGUGGGGGAUAUUGGUCAAUGGGGGAAACCCUGAACCAGCAACGCCGCGUGAGGGAAGAAGGUUUUCGGAUUGUAAACCUCUGUUUUUGGUGACGAACAAAUGACGGUAGCCAAGGAGAAAGCCACGGCUAACUACGUGCCAGCAGCCGCGGUAAUACGUAGGUGGCAAGCGUUGUCCGGAAUUACUGGGUGUAAAGGGAGCGCAGGCGGGAAGGCAAGUCAGACGUGAAAACUAUGGGCUCAACCCAUAACGUGCGUUUGAAACUGUUUUUCUUGAGUGAAGUAGAGGUAGGCGGAAUUCCGAGUGCAGCGGUGAAAUGCGUAGAUAUUCGGAGGAACACCAGUGGCGAAGGCGGCCUACUGGGCUU
rnacentral:rRNA from 1 species